rnacentral:rRNA from 1 species
CUAACCGCGCAAAGGUAGCAUAAUCACUUGUCUUUUAAAUGAAGACUCGUAUCAACGGCAUCACGAGGGUUCCACUGUCUCCUUUUUCUAAUCAGUGAAACUAAUCUACCCGUGAAGGCUUUAAACCUAGCUGCACCCCGCCACCCUUAUAUCCUCUACUAGCCGGGACCCUCAUGCCAGGUUUUAGGUUGGGGCGACCACGGAGCAUAAUUAAACCUCCACGAUGAACGAGCCUAAUCUCUUAUCUAAGAAGCACACCUCUAAGAAUUAGUAUUCUAACAUAAAAUGAUCCACUAUUGAUCAACGAACCAAGUUACCCUGGGGAUAACAGCGCAAUCCAUUUCAAGAGCCCUUAUCGACAAGUGGGUUUACGACCUCGAUGUUGGAUCAGGGUAUCCCAGUGGUGCAGCAGCUACUGAUGGUUCGUUUGUUCAACGAUUAAAACCCUACGUGAUCU